UGGUUUAUUCGAUGCAACGCGAACAACCUUACCUGGCCUUGACAUGUCCAGAACUUUCCAGAGAACGAUUGGUGCCUUCGGGAACUCCAACACAGGUGCUGCAUGCCUGUCGUCAGCUCGUGUCGUGAGAUGUUGGGUUAAGUCCCGCAACCAGCGCAACCCUUGUCCUUAGUUGCCAGCACGUAAUGGUGGGAACUCUAAGGAGACCGCCGGUGACAAACCGGAGGAAGGUGGGGAUGACGUCAAGUCAUCAUGGCCCUUACCGCCAGGGCUACACACGUACUACAAUGGUAGGGACAGAGGGCUGCAAGCCGGCCACGGUAACCGAAUCCCACAAACCCUUUCU
rnacentral:rRNA from 1 species